ensembl:lncRNA
GUGAGACAGGCCGCCGGAGCAAUGCACUUUUCUGUGGCGCCGUCGUCCUCCUCCGACGACGAAGGGGGGAACAAUUUGUAGUUUGUUUCAAGAUGAACACCCACACGGUCUGAGCCCCUCAAACACACACACACACAGACACACACACACACACACACACACACACACACACACACACACACACACACACACACACACACACACACACACACACACACACACACACACACACACACACACACACACACACAGAGGCCUGAACACCCACUUCUCUGUUCUGGGAUCACCUGAGGUCAGAACACGGUGUGAUUCCACUGGUGAGCUCUCACCUCCAGCACUUCUCGUGUGGAAUGAGGAGCACAGAACACAAGAGCACAGUCUCUCUCUCUCUCUCUCUCUCUCUCUCCUCUCUCUCUCUCUCCCUCUCCCUCUCUCUCUCUCUCUCUCUCUCUCUCUCUCCUCUCUCUCUCUCUCUCUCUCUCUCUCUCUCUCUCUCUCUCUCUCUCUCUCUCUCUCUCUCUCUCUCUCUCUCUCUCUCUCUCUCUCUCUCUCUCUCUCUCUCUCUCUCUCUCUCUCUCUCUCUCUCUCUCUCUCUAUUACCCAGGAGUUUCAUCAUACACCUGGACCUUUUCAAUCCUGCUCUGCCAGACACUGCCAGCUCUCUCUCUCUCUCUCUCUCUCUCUCUCGGCCCUAUAAUUCAUGUUAUCUCGCCCGCUCUGCAAUUGAACGAUAGCUUAGAACCUGUGUUGGCCGCAGCCGGAAGAAUUCCACUAACCAGUCGAAAUGUUACAUCUUCUUAAGGAUCUUCUAUAUUUUGAUCAUGUAAUAUAUUCCGAUAAAGUGACAUUAAUUUAUCCGACGUUUCCUUUUUGUCUUUUUGUUUUUUUUAAUUUCCCUCCGCCUCUCUCUGAAAGUAUUAGUCUGUAUAAAGCCCACGCUUUGUGUAAACGUUUCACCGCGGCCAUUGUCGCAUCCUUUCUGUGAGUGGAGUAUCGCCGUGGCGACAGAAACGGGUUUUGCCUUUUGUCCCCGCAUCGAUCGGUCCUCCGUUGUUGUUGCUCUGCAUCGGUUGUAUUGUACAUAGCUCUAAUAAAUGUUCUACAGGUUCUUCUCCCGGCCUUUAAACCUCUUGUGUGAAGUGCCUCUCUGUUUCUGUUUCUGUUCAUCCCUCGUUUCUCUUCCUCGUUGUCGAGCACUUGUCGCUCCUCAACCCGCAUCAGCAUCAGCACCACCAGCGGCCCGCUGGGGGCGGACCCACAGGGACUGGCUGCUUCACCGCUCCAGGGGUCACGUGACACAUGGUGGUCUCAUGUUGUCUGAGACAUGAGACCCUAAUGCACACGAGGGUCUCAGGCUGCUCUGAGACUCACAGGACAAAGCCUUGUUUAGCCAUAUGAGGUGUUGUUGAGGAAUACAUUGGAGGAGGUACAUGUACUAUGAUGUAUGAUCCCCAUGAUAGAGUACAAUAUAAUGAUUAUACUAUACUCUAUCAUAUACUGUAUCAUACUAUACUCGAUCAUGGAUUAUACUAUAAUCCAUGAUAUAUACUAUAAUUAUAUUUUAUAUUAUAUUAUACUAUAAUCCAUGAGUAUAGUAUGCAUAAUCUUAGAUAGAGUAUAGUAUGAUCUAUGAUAGAGUAUUUUAUGAUCUAUGAUAAAGUAUAGUAUGUAUGAUCUAUGAUAGAGAAUAGUAGGAUCUAUGAUUGAGUAUAGUAUGAUAUAUGACAGUAUAGUAGAUAUAGUGAUAGUAUACAUAAUCUGAUGAUAUAUGAUAGUAUAGUAGAUAUAGUAUACAUAAUCUGUGAUAGAGAAUAGAAUAUAUAAUCCAUGAUAGAGUAUAGUUGAUAUAAUCUGUGAUUGUGUAUAGUUGAUAUAAUCUGUGAUAGAGUAUAGUUGAUAUAAUCUGUGCUAGAGUAUAGUUGAUAUAAUCUGUGAUAGAUAUAGUUUAUAUAAUCUGUGAUAGAGUAUAGUUGAUAUAAUCUGUGAUAGAUAUAGUUUAUUUAAUCUGUGAUAGAGUAUAGUUGAUAUAAUCUGUGAUAGAGUAUAGUUUAUUUAAUCUGUGAUAGAUGAUAGUUUUGCAUCGUUCAGUCAGUGAUCAGCAACAUGAACGGUGUGAUUUUAAAACAAGGUAGAAUUAUAAACACAGGGGCGUCCUUCAUCCACCUCCC